GCACUGAGUAACCCUGCCCAGAUAAUUGGGGCAACUUAAGCAUGGGGAAAUUUGCUGCAGAAGAGUACGAGCAUUUCAGAUCUGAAUUUGCCUUCUUGCCAGAGAUCUUUCAGCUCAGCGGGAGAUACCUGGAUUCAAAAAGUUGAGACCUAGUCGAUCUCAGCAAACCAGCCAGGAAAACCCCAUUCAAGAUAUUCCCAGAGCUUGGAGAGAUGCACCACAAACUCAAUCAGAAUUCAACGAGAGUGCCAACAGCAGCCGGCUGCGGGGUGAGCUAGUCGAUAUGUGAAAGCGCUGAGAGUGGACCACUGACAUAAAAAACCCUUCCAGUCA